GGGUCAAUAGCGUAGUGGUGAACGCGUCUGUCCAGAUUACGUCGAAACAGAGUCCAUGACAGAAGAUCCUCGGUUCGAUUCCGAGUUGACCCA